AACGAACGCUGGCGGCAGGCCUAACACAUGCAAGUCGAGCGCCCUUUCGGGGGAGCGGCGGACGGGUGAGUAACGCGUGGGAAUAUGCCCUUCUCUACGGAAUAGCCUCGGGAAACUGAGAGUAAUACCGUAUACGCCCUUUGGGGGAAAGAUUUAUCGGGGAAGGAUUAGCCCGCGUUGGAUUAGGUAGUUGGUGGGGUAAUGGCCUACCAAGCCGACGAUCCAUAGCUGGUUUGAGAGGAUGAUCAGCCACACUGGGACUGAGACACGGCCCAGACUCCUACGGGAAGCAGCAGUGGGGAAUCUUAGACAAUGGGGGCAACCCUGAUCUAGCCAUGCCGCGUGAGUGAUGAAGGCCUUAGGGUUGUAAAGCUCUUUCAGCUGGGAAGAUAAUGACGGUACCAGCAGAAGAAGCCCCGGCUAACUCCGUG
rnacentral:rRNA from 1 species